rnacentral:lncRNA from 1 species
CUAGAUUGGGUUUAUCCCGGAGGAGCAAAUACACAUUGUACUCCUAGAUUGGGUUUAACACCGGGGAGCAAAUACACAUCGUACUCCCGCGGAAGCAUGAAGUCUCUUGACAUGAGAAAUUAGGUGUAUUGGAGGGUAAAUUUCCCUGUGCACUGGAAAAUUUCGCGGUAACUUGCGAUCUGAGAAUCGAGAAGAGCAAAUACUUCAAAAAAUUUGUGCGAGAGAGAGAGAGGCUUUUCGGGAGAGAGAGAGAGAGAGAGAGAGAGAGAGAG